UUUCAUUUUCUUCUUCGACGUUAGUUUCCCUGCUGAACCCAACUUCUCCUCAUCUUCGUUCACUGUUAGCUCGCCUCCACCUCCUUCAAUCCCUUCAUUAGCAGAUUCACCACCACCACUCUUCAUCAACAGAUUCAAUAACCACCACCAUCACUCUCCGUCACCAAUUAUUUCUAGGAUUUGUUUUCGAUCCAGGGAUUUCUUAUCCGUUCACAGGAAAAUUAGGGUUUUUGAGUUCAAAUUUGGAAUGUUUGAUUUGAAAUUGAAGGAGGAUUGAAAUUGGUGAAUGGGAGUGUUUAAUUUGGUGAUUAGAUCUCAGUAAGAAUUUUUCGAAAGUUGAAGGAGGAUUGAGACCGAAUGAGAAUCAAAGUUCUUUUUCAACUUUCGCCAACUUCUCAUUGAAAUUGAACCACCACCACCACGAUCUUCAAACAUUGAAGGUUAUGGUUUUAAUUUGAGGAUUUGAUUUUAAAGAAGAACAUUAAUUGGGAAAUUGAGGAGUUCGGGUUUUCUAGAACAAUAGUUCUAUGGUUUCAGUGGAGGCGAUUGGUGAAGUAGCAUUUCAGAGGGUGCUAAGGAUUGGGCAAGCCUCUAAUUUAUCUUAAUUCUAGUUUGGAUAAAAGACCAAGUUUCUGCUUAUUAAUUGUUUAUUCGUACUGAAGUAGUUGUUUGAUUUGUUACCUGACUUAUUAUGAGCAAACAAUUACCAGGUUAGUUCCAUGCUCUUCUUGCGCCGAACAAGUUGCAACUGUAAUGGUCACAUGUUAUUCACUAUGUUCUUAAAGUUUGAAUUGGGGUCUGAUUUUUUGGUGCCCUCGACUGGUUUGUGCAAUCAUGUUGAUAUCUAGCACGUAUAUUGUUUAAUCAGCAUGUUUUCCCCCUAAGAGGCUUCUCCCCUCAGUGCUCUCCUAGGAGCAAACAAGUGACAGCUGUAAUGUUCACAUGGUGCAUGAUGUUCUCAAAUUUAUAUCAGGAGGCUAGAGGGCUUGAUGCUGGGCUGCGGCUUGUGCAAAAGUUAAUUGGCUGAAUUAAAGACAAAUAGAAUAAAAUGUUGGAUCAAUGGAACUGAAUUCAGCUUCUGUGCUUGAGCCGGAAUGAAAAUGCAAUAGAAGUUGAUUAUAGGCCCUACGUUUUGAUAUUCUGUGGAUUUGAUGUGUAGUGGCAAGAAGAAGAAGAGAGGUUAAAGGGUAUUUUCACCGCGUGUUAUUAGUGGAAUGUACAAGACCGUACAAGUUCUCAUUCAGGUGGAGUUCGAGAGGGUUUCAACCAUCUGAUUUCGCAAGAUGGAAAUCCAUGGCAUCGACUGUUAGUAUUAAAGAAGAAGUGGCUGAAAUAAGAGCUAGCAGGGGAAGAUAGCAGCGUCCUACAACAGCAGCAAGGUCCGAAAUUGGUUAGGCGAAACUAUUGGUUUACUGACUGAGAAGUGAAAUUGAAGACUGCAUGUGUUGUUGCCAUGAAUCAACUUGGCUGUACCAAAGAUUGAGAGUGUAGUCUGUGAUGGUAGUAUGGGCAGUUCUUGAGAUGAGAAUGAAUAUGGAAUCGAGCUUCUACUCGAACUGAAGCAGCAACGUCGACGGAAACGUGGGGUUUCUUAUUGUGGUAUGUACUUCGAGCUGUUGAUCUCAAUGGAUCGACAGUUGAAGGAAAUGCUAGAAGACAAUAGAAGGAAGGAAACUAUGAUCGAUUCGGUGAACGGAAAGUGAUCAGUUGGUGGAGCAACUGAAAUAGGAAAUAGUGCUUCUCAAGGGAAGUGGAAAUGGCACUGUGGUUCAUUCUUAUUGCAGUGGCGAAGAUGUUUCUCGGCUGGUGAUGUUGGCUGAAAUCGAUGGAGUCUGUAUGGUUCUCAGAUUUGAAUGGACUGAAAUUGGGGUUGCAAGGUUAAUUGGCUAAGCUACCGGUGGAGGAUGGUCAGGGAGGUAUUUGCUGCCAUGGUUGCAAUAGGUGAUUGGUUGAGCUGAAUGUAGUCACUGAAAUGGAUGGUUGCUGGCUUUUGCAUUUGAAGAUCAGGUGAAGACAUCCAGAAGUUCAGGGAAGUGGACAGUGGUUAAUGCAUAUUGCAGUAGUGAAGAUGGAGAGUUGGACGUGACUGAGAUGGUUUGAAUGGGGUUUGUAUGGAGUUGUUGACGAAGGUGCCGUGGCUGAUGUGAAUCGAGUAUACAGCAAGGACGUACAUGAACAUGGAAGCUAACACUCCACGGAAUGAUCUGAGGUUGAUUAGUGGCUGAUUUAGUUCAACUCAUAGCCAUGGUAUAAUCUCGUUACAGAACAGCAACAAUAUGUUCGGGCAGUCGACAGUGAAGAUUGGAAGAUGGAGAAUAAGAUAGAUGACAUUAUUGAAGCUCGUUACGACAACAGAGACAUCAACAGACGAUAUUUUGGGGUUAUUCUCUACGUCAAUAGUGAAGUCGAGUUGAUGGUUUCUCUAAUUCCCACUAUCUAAAAUUGAUGUUGGUUAUGAUUGCAGCAACAACAAAUGGGAUUGGGGUUCGCAAGGUUCAAAUGGGGAUAAAUUGCAUUGCCUCUAUCUUGGUGAUUUGUGGAUAUGAUUGGAACUGGAUUUAAUGGGUGCUGAUUUGUUUUGCUCUCAAGCUCGAGUUGGUGGUGUUGCUGGUGACGCGAUUCUAAAGUGGAUUUGGCAACCGGAGUUUGUAAUGGACCGGCCUGGGCUGGAUUUUGGAAGGCAGGUAGUGAUUGUUAUAUAUCCUCGUAGCAGUGCCAUUGUAACCAGCGGUUGAAGGAGAGUUGUGUGCUGUGGCCUAAACUUGGGUCUUGUUUUUGGAGGGAUUUAGCAGUUCGCUAGGUUUCAAUGUUAAUCUUCGCAACACUGUUUUGGAUAAAACUCUACAAAUAGUGAGUGGAGAUAUGUACCAGGAAAUCCUUUAUCUAGGAGAAUCAUAAGAGUGCUUUAAUGAGCUAAACUACACUAUCUGAUAUGCUAGAGUUAGAGUCCAGAAUAUAUGCUACCGCAGACAAAUAAAAUGAUGCAAAACGUUUAAAUCA